GAAGUCUAGCAUGUACGCAAGUCAUUGGGAAAUAAUUAAACCUAAAGGCGUAGUGAAAGUAAAGGUUUGCCUUGUGCUUGCCAAGGAAGGAUGAGUAUAACCAAGGUUAUUGCUCCGCACUUCCAGGGCGUUUCAUUCUCAUUGCGAGAAGAGGCGCACCUAGAGCGUACACGCUGGGACCCGAAAGAUGGUGAACUAUGCCUGGUCAGGACGAAGUCAGGGGAAACCCUGAUGGAGGUCCGUAGCAAUUCUGACGUGCAAAUCGAUUGUCGGAACUGGGUAUAGGGGCGAAAGACUAAUCGAACCAUCUAGUAGCUGGUUCCCUCCGAAGUUUCCCUCAGGAUAGCUGGCGCUUAUAGCGCAAGAGUUUCAUCUGGUAAAGCGAAUGAUUAGAGGCAUUGGGGUCGAAACGGCCUCAACCUAUUCUCAAACUUUAAAUAGGUGAGAUCUCUGGCUUGCUUAAAUUUAUUUUUGAAGCCAUGAGACUUGAAUCAAAGUGCCAAGUGGGCCAUUUUUGGUAAGCAGAACUGGCGCUGUGGGAUGAACCAAACGCUGAGUUAAAGUGCCUAAAUUAACGCUUAUAGGAUACCAUGAAAGGCGUUGGUAACUUAAGACAUCAGGACGGUGGCCAUGGAA
rnacentral:rRNA from 1 species